AGCCCAGAGAAAUUUGGAUUAAUACCUCAUAGCAUAGCAAUCUCGCAUGAGAUCACUAUUAAAGUCACAACGGUAAAAGAUGAGCAUGCGUCCCAUUAGCUAGUUGGUAAGGUAACGGCUUACCAAGGCUACGAUGGGUAGGGGUCCUGAGAGGGAGAUCCCCCACACUGGUACUGAGACACGGACCAGACUCCUACGGGAGGCAGCAGUGAGGAAUAUUGGACAAUGGGCGCAAGCCUGAUCCAGCCAUGCCGCGUGCAGGAUGACGGUCCUAUGGAUUGUAAACUGCUUUUGUACGAGAAGAAACACUGCUUCGUGAAGCAGCUUGACGGUAUCGUAAGAAUAAGGAUCGGCUAACUCCGUGCCAGCAGCCGCGGUAAUACGGAGGAUCCAAGCGUUAUCCGGAAUCAUUGGGUUUAAAGGGUCCGUAGGCGGUUUAGUAAGUCAGUGGUGAAAGCCCAUCGCUCAACGGUGGAACGGCCAUUGAUACUGCUGA
rnacentral:rRNA from 1 species